rnacentral:rRNA from 1 species
UACGUAGGAUGCAAGCGUUAUCCGGAAUUAUUGGGCGUAAAGAGCGUGUAGGCGGCGUAUUAAGUCAAAUGUUAAAUCUCAGGGCUCAACUCUGGGGCUGCAUUUGAUACUGGUAUGCUCGAGGUUGUGAGAGGUAAGCGGAAUUAGCGGUGUAGCAGUGAAAUGCGUAGAUAUCGCUAGGAACACCAAUGGCGAAGGCAGCUUACUGGCACAAUCCUGACGCUGAGACACGAAAGCGUGGGGAGCGAACGGG